rnacentral:rRNA from 1 species
GACGUAGGGCGCGAGCGUUGUCCGGAUUUAUUGGGCGUAAAGAGCUCGUAGGCGGCUUGUCGCGUCGACCGUGAAAACUUGGGGCUCAACCCCAAGCCUGCGGUCGAUACGGGCAGGCUAGAGUUCGGUAGGGGAGACUGGAAUUCCUGGUGUAGCGGUGAAAUGCGCAGAUAUCAGGAGAACACCUAGUGGCGAAGGCAGGCUCUCGU